rnacentral:rRNA from 1 species
UACGUAGGGGGCAAGCGUUAUCCGGAGUUACUGGGCGUAAAGGGCGUGUAGGUGGUAGAGUAAGUCUGGCGUGAAAUUUUUCGGCUUAACCGGGAAAGGUCGUCGGAUACUGCUUAACUAGAGGACGGUAGAGGCGUGUGGAAUUCCGGGUGUAGUGGUGAAAUGCGUAGAGAUCCGGAGGAACACCAGUGGCGAAGGCGACACGCUGGGCCGUACCUGACACUGAUGCGCGACAGCAUGGGGAGCAAACAGG